UGAGUAACGCGUGGGUAACCUGCCUCAUACAGGGGGAUAACAGUUAGAAAUGACUGCUAAUACCGCAUAAGCGCACAGUGCUGCAUGGCACAGUGUGGAAAACUCCGGUGGUAUGAGAUGGACCCGCGUCUGAUUAGCUAGUUGGUGGGGUAACGGCCUACCAAGGCGACGAUCAGUAGCCGGCCUGAGAGGGUGAACGGCCACAUUGGGACUGAGACACGGCCCAAACUCCUACGGGAGGCAGCAUG
rnacentral:rRNA from 1 species